GGCGCCCCUCACAGCCCCAUUUCAUCAGACCACUUCCCUGUUCUGGCCCUGACCACCUCAUGGCCCCAGGCGCUCAAGCUCCAGGCCACCUUUCAGAUCAAGGCCGACCCUCCCAGCAGCCCCACCCCAGAACCAGUACGCAGCAGCAAGCGGGGCAGCAGCAAGCGGGGUUGCUUUGUAUCACAUACACGACCAAACGCGGACAUUCUCAGCACAUCAGAGCGCCUCUGUUAGGAAAACCCGCAGCACUUCAAUAAAAUGGAGGCCGUGGCUGGGAGCAGAUCUUCUGCCGUGACCCCAGCGGAGCUGAACGACGCCCCCCCAACUCAAACAGCUGCCAGGUGUCGUUUCUCACCUGGCAGACACAGGCACGACAAGCUCCAGCGCCGUUUCGUAUUGAUGCUCCGGGACAGCAGCUGGGAGAUGAGCCUCUCGCCGGCGAGUGGCAGGUCGCAGUGGGAGCCCCACUCGUGACCUCAGUGAAGAGGCUCCCGGGCGCCGGGCUCUGGGCCGGAGGCCGCCAGGGCAGCCCCAGAAAUGCUUAUUAAAGAGCCAAUAAAUCACGGCUCCACCCACCCUCUCCCCUCCGCCUCGCUGUCUGACUUCCUCAUACUGAUGCAUUUAAUUUAUCUCUAAAAACGGGCGAGACUGCUUCUUUGAUUUCCACAGGGGCCACGUGGGGCAGAGAGCUGACAAAUUAUCUCCCGACCCUGGAUGGCUGAUGUCAUGGGGCCCCAGCACGGAAGGCCCCGUGCCGGUCUCCCCGACGCCCCGCAGUUGGGCUGCGGGCCAUUCCCCAGGCGGUGUUGUCAGAGCUGGUGCUGUCCUGGCAGCUGGCUCGUUUGUCCAUAGCGGUGGACACCCAUCGGUCCACGAGGCCCCCAGCAGGCAGCAGGGCCUGGCCCCUGACCUCUCUUGUCCAUGCCUCCCAUGGGGACAGGCGGCCUCAGGACAGGGGCAGGGGUGGGGGCGCUGACCUUCCCUUGGGCCGGACAGUUUGGAUCAUUUUUUUGCCUAAAUCACCAAGAUAGGCAAAAUCUGUGGGAGUCAGAAAAAGGGAUUUGUUUUCAGCACAUUAAUAUUUACGGUAUAAAUAAAUCUGGAAAAUGUCCAAGAGAAU